rnacentral:lncRNA from 10 species
CUGAAAUGUACUCCUAUUUUGAAAUAAUGCAUUAUUGUUUACUAUAGUUAUGCUGCUGUGCAAUAGAUCUCAAACCCUAUUUGCCUCUGUCUAUUUGAAACGUUAUACCCUUUAACAAAUCCCUAUUUCCCUCUCAGACCCUUGCCUUCUAGUCACCAUUAUUUCACUUUCUACUUUUUUGAGUUAAACUUUAUUAGAUUCUGCAUAUAAAUGAGAUCAUGCAGUGUUUGUCUUUCUGUGUCAGACUUAUUCCCUCUAGCAUAGUGUCUUCCAAAUUUAUCUAUAUUGUUUCAAAUGGUUGGAUUUACCUUCUUUUAAGGCUGAAUUGUAUUCCAUUUACCACAAUAUAGAUAAAUUUGGAAGACAUUAUGCUAGCUGAAAUAAGACUGACACAAAAAGACAAAUACUGCAUGAUCUCAUUUACAUCUAGAAUUU